AUUAAAGAAAAGGAGCCCACAAUACUCCCCCCUCCAUCACUCUCGGUCAAGCUCCUCUCUCUCUCUUCCUCACUUCUUCCCCAAAUUGAGAACUUCUGUCGUCCCCUCCGAUUCCAAAUCGGACCCCAAUCUCCACCGAUUCACUACGGUGCUUCAACCUUCCGGUUACUGUGGUGUCGCUCAGCACCAUCUCCUCGUUCUUAUCGCCAGAACAGGAAGUAUCACCUUCAUCGCCGCUGCUGUCCAGGCUCGACGCAGGUCACUGGUGCGGAAUCGCUGCAGUUCGCCGGCGGACUCCACCGCUGUUCUGAUGCGCCGCCUCUGCACGCCCCUCCGUCGCACGCUGCUGUACCGUCGAAGGUCGCACAGGGCCGUCGCCGUUCGCAGAUUCGUCUCCGUCGCCCGGGUCAGGCUGCUGCUGUCGCCGCCGUGGUUAAUGAGCCGCUGCAGUUACAGCAGCCCCGAGACAUCACCGCAGCCCCCAAUUCGUUCUGAAACCGACCUGAACAGCCCCGAAACCAACCCGAAAGAUAAGUUUCUUUUACAAAUCUUAUGUUCUUCUCCGCAUUUUCGAUUAAUUACCGAGGGAUGUUCAGUUGUGGUGUUCCAUUGAGUUGGUUGUUGAUUUAAUAUUCGAUUGGUGUUUAUUGUUGGAUUUGUUCAUGUGGGAGGCGAGUUUGGCAGAUUGUGUAUUCUACAAAAAUGAUAUGAAUGUUUGUGAAGCAAGGAUGGAAGUGGGGAGUAUCAAAGUAUACCUCUGCCGCACGAGUUGGCAAGAAAGGAUGAGAAUUGAAGAUGGAAGAUGGAAGGUCAUGGAAGAUGGAAGAUCAAGAGUUGGCGGUAGGGAAGAGGGAAGAAUUGGGCUCAAAAUCUACCUCUCAUAUUUUAUUUAUUUGUUGAAGUUCAUAGGCCCAAAAUGAUUUAUUUUGUUGUAAAUAAAUCAAGCCCAAAGCCAAAAUGUAAAAUAACACAUUGGACUUUCUUUAUAAUUAUUUGGAUCCGCCCAAGUUCUUAUU